rnacentral:rRNA from 1 species
CACGUGGGGCGCAAGCGUUGUCCGGAAUUAUUGGGCGUAAAGAGCUCGUAGGCGGUCUGUUGCGUCUGCUGUGAAAACCCGGGGCUUAACCCCUGGCUUGCAGUGGAUACGGGCAGACUAGAGGUAGGUAGGGGAGAAUGGAAUUCCCGGUGUAGCGGUGAAAUGCGCAGAUAUCGGGAGGAACACCGGUGGCGAAGGCGGUUCUCUGGGCCUUACCUGACGCUGAGGAGCGAAAGCGUGGGGAGCGAACAGG